AAACCCACAGGACAAACACGCGAAAAAAAUAAUCCACUAAGAGAAAAGAUUACAAGGUGAUUAUCGACUCCACGGACUCGACCUAUCUUAACCUCCUAUGGAUCUCGCGGAAGCCUCCGGGUUGUCCACGCCCUCACGUUCGAAUCCUCAAACGCUGCUCCCACGUCCGAAUCCACAGACGCCACUCGAAUCCACGAGCUCACGAUUCGAAUCCACGAACCGCCUUCAAUCACACCGAAUCCACGAUGCCGCACAUGAAGAACAUCAU
rnacentral:lncRNA from 1 species